rnacentral:tmRNA from 1 species
GGGGGUGUCAUGGUUUCGACAGGAUUUCGUUUGAUUCAAAAUGCAGUGGUGUGGCUACCUAAAGGCUAACCUAAAAAUAACUGGAAACAGAUUAUCUUUCGCUGCUUAAUUAGCAAAAUUUAGCUUGCAGUGCAUCAAUUAGUGUUUGACCAUUGGACGCUAUGCGAUGACAGACACAAUGGUUAAGGACAACAAAUAGCUUAGUGCGUUGCUCUCGAAAAUCUCAUAAGCACAUCAGUACUUGUUUGUUUGUUGCUUAAGUACUGAAUAAAGUAAACAAACUAAACUGUAGAUUUUUGAAUGUGAGACACUUUCUGGACAGGAGUUCAACUCUCCUCACCUCCACCA